GUGGACGCCAGUCUGCAUGGAGCCGACCUUGAAAUACCACCCUUUAAUGUUUGAUGUUCUAACGUGGACCCGUGAUCCGGGUUGCGGACAGUGUCUGGUGGGUAGUUUGACUGGGGCGGUCUCCUCCUAAAGAGUAACGGAGGAGCACGAAGGUUGGCUAAUCCUGGUCGGACAUCAGGAGGUUAGUGCAAUGGCAUAAGCCAGCUUGACUGCGAGCGUGACGGCGCGAGCAGGUGCGAAAGCAGGUCAUAGUGAUCCGGUGGUUCUGAAUGGAAGGGCCAUCGCUCAACGGAUAAAAGGUACUCCGGGGAUAACAGGCUGAUACCGCCCAAGAGUUCAUAUCGACGGCGGUGUUUGGCACCUCGAUGUCGGCUCAUCACAUCCUGGGGCUGAAGUAGGUCCCAAGGGUAUGGCUGUUCGCCAUUUAAAGUGGUACGCGAGCUGGGUUUAGAACGUCGUGAGACAGUUCGGUCCCUAUCUGCCGUGGGCGCUGGAGAACUGAGGGGGGCUGCUCCUAGUACGAGAGGACCGGAGUGGACGCAUCACUGGUGUUCGGGUUGUCAUGCCAAUGGCACUGCCCGGUAGCUAAAUGCGGAAGAGAUAAGUGCUGAAAGCAUCUAAGCACGAAACUUGCCCCGAGAUGAGUUCUCCCUGAGACUUAGAGUCUC
rnacentral:rRNA from 1 species